rnacentral:lncRNA from 10 species
AGCGCAGGCGCGGAUGGGGCGGGGGUAAUGCGCACGCGUGUGCGUGUGGGCCAGCACGUCCGGGUGGUCAGGACGCGCGCUUGUGCGCAUGUCCCCGCGCAGGGUCGGGCGCUGGGGUGUGGAGACUGAACCUUGCAGACACCCGGGUCCGCACGUCUGGGAUGGACGUGAGACAGUCUCGCUAUAUUACCCAGGCUGGAGUGCAGUGUCAAGAUCUCGACUCACUGCAGCCUUGAACUCCUGGGCUCAAGUGAUCCUCCCACAGUGCUGGGAUUACAGGCGUGAGCCACCGCACCCGGCCUCUAGUUCUGUCUUUUUGCUCAGUAUUAGAAUUCGUAAGUUCUGGCCCCAGCAACUCGUCCUUUCAUCUGUCUCAAGUUGCACUGUGGUGGUCACAGGAGCUGUCCUGCACCUUGCACAUGUGGCCAUGAACAAGACUCGCUCCUUGCUCUCAUGGGGCCUUCAUUCCAGUGAGACACAAAUGCAAACACAAAAUUCCAGAAGAGUGCUGAGUGCUAUCAUGAGAAACGAAGACAGGCUGGAAGAUGGGCUCUGACCCCAGAAAACCGAUGGAGAGGCCCAAGCAGCCUUGGGAGCAACAGGCUAUAAUGACAGCGUUCCAUAAAUCACGUGGGCUUCGCAGCCACACUCAGUUCAGUAUAAAGGCCGUGUGAAACAUGCCUUCACCUCACAAGCACCAUCAUGUAAGAGCCUUGUCUAGGGCUGAAGAGUCUGUUUUGAAAAUCAUGAAUGUAUACCAAUGGCACGUUCACAGGGAUACAUCACACUACUUGGCAUCUAACAGUCAGCCACAUGACUCUGACCCCUAAAGAUUUCAUCCCAUGUCACUCUCUCACAUGGGGGCUUGGAAUUGAACUGCCUGAAAAGAAUGCACACAGGCAAGGAGCCUCUCUUCUCACAGGCCCCUCGGGGGACACCUGGGUCUCAAGCUCAGAUUCCCUGAAGUACCCAGCACUCAC